rnacentral:rRNA from 1 species
GAGUUUGAUCAUGGCUCAGAGUGAACGCUGGCGGCAGGCCUAACACAUGCAAGUCGAGCGGCAGCGCGGGGGCAACCCUGGCGGCGAGCGGCGGACGGGUGAGGAAUGCGUCGGAAUCUGCCUCUUUGUGGGGGAUAACGUAGGGAAACUUACGCUAAUACCGCAUACGACCUAUGGGUGAAAGUGGGGGACCGCAAGGCCUCACGCAGAGAGAUGAGCCGACGCCGGAUUAGCUAGUUGGCGGGGUAAAGGCCCACCAAGGCGACGAUCCGUAGCUGGUCUGAGAGGAUGAUCAGCCACACUGGAACUGAGACACGGUCCAGACUCCUACGGGAGGCAGCAGUGGGGAAUAUUGGACAAUGGGCGCAAGCCUGAUCCAGCCAUGCCGCGUGUGUGAAGAAGGCC